AUGAAACUCAGACUUAGGUCCCUUGAAACCAAACAAACCUUAAAAAUCGAACUCCCAAAUUCCUCCACUCUUUAACAACUCAAACAAGUACUCUCUCAGUCACUUUCUUCUUCCUCUUCUCUUCAUCUCUUCUUAAACCGUAUGUACGACCUCCAUGCAUCCUCUCCUGAAGCCUAUCUCCAAUCCUUCGGUAUUAUCUCUAGUGACCUUAUCUUCUUCACCCUAACCCUGGAUAAGAAAACCCUAGAGCAUGAAAUCUUAGACUCUAAGACAGAUAUUAAUAUGAAAGACGAAGAAAUUUCUGGGUCUGGACCUUUUGGUGCCGAAUCCAUGGAAUUCGAUAAUGGGUCUUCUGUUUUGUCUCGAAAGAAGUAUUUUGAGCAUUAUUUUCUAAGGAGGGUAUUGAGGGAAGAGUUGGGCAAUGGUGUUCGUAGUGAUCACAAGCUCAUGGUGAUUGCGAUUCAUGCGGUUCUUUUGGAGUUCGAUUUUUUUGGGUUCAAUUCAGUUUCAAGUAUGCAUGUGGACCGAUUACAUCUCCUGAAUGUGUGGCCUUCAAAGCCAUUCACCCUUUGCUACCCUCUGCCUUAUAAUGUUGCUGAAAGUGAGAGCAUUGAUUUGAAGUUUCAGCAUGGUUGCACCGUGUGUUUGAAUGAAAAUAGGUUUGUGCCGGCUUUAGAAUCCUUGUGGGCAGCUAAUAGUGAUUCCAAUGAUGAAAUUAACAAUCAAGAGGGGUACCCUGAAAUAGAGGUUUUUGAAUUUUGGAAAACUGUGAAGGAUGAGAUUGCAUUGCCACUUUUGAUUGAUCUUUGUGAAAUGGCUGGUUUGGUGUUGCCACCGUGCCUUAUGCGCCUCCCUCCUGACCUUAAAUUGAAGAUUUUUGAAUCCCUUCCCGUUGUUGAUCUUGUCAAGGUGGGAUGUGUGUGUUCUGAAUUGCAAACUUUGUCUACCUUUAAUGAGCUGUGGAAACAAAAGUUUGUUGAGGAGUUUGGAAACAGGACGGGAGCGAAGGGAUGGAUCAUUGGAAGAAAAAUUUUAAAUCAUUUUGGGAGCGCAAGAAGAAGAGGAAGAGGGAGAGGGAAGGUAGAAUUUCGCGAGUAUUUCCUCAGGUCCCUGUGCCAAUCCCCUUUUGGAGACCAUCGCUAAUUUCCCUUAUAAUUUGGAAUUAUCCAAGGACUACUCCGGUGACUCAGAGUUUCUACAAUAAUGGUCUAGUGCUGGAAGUGAAUCUAUCAGAGAAAUGA